rnacentral:rRNA from 1 species
UACGUAGGGGGCAAGCGUUGUCCGGAUUCAUUGGGCGUAAAGAGCGUGUAGGCGGCCAGGUAGGUCGGUUGUGAAAACUGGAGGCUCAACCUUCAGAGGUCGACCGAAACCAUCUGGCUAGAGUCCGGGAGAGGAGAGUGGAAUUCCUGGUGUAGCGGUGAAAUGCGUAGAUAUGCGGAGGAACACCGAUGGCGAAGGCAAUCCCCUGGGCCUGCACUGACGCUCAUGCACGAAAGCGUGGGGAGCAAACAGG